rnacentral:rRNA from 1 species
GACGAACGCUUGCGGCGUGCUUAACACAUGCAAGUCGAACGGAAAGGCCCUGCUUUUGUGGGGUGCUCGAGUGGCGAACGGGUGAGUAACACGUGAGUAACCUGCCCUUGACUUUGGGAUAACCUCAGGAAACUGGGGCUAAUACCGGAUAGGAGCUCCUGCUGCAUGGUGGGGGUUGGAAAGUUUCGGCGGUUGGGGAUGGACUCGCGGCUUAUCAGCUUGUUGGUGGGGUAGUGGCUUACCAAGGCUUUGACGGGUAGCCGGCCUGAGAGGGUGACCGGCCACAUUGGGACUGAGAUACGGCCCAGACUCCUACGGGAGGCAGCAGUGGGGAAUAUUGCACAAUGGGCGGAAGCCUGAUGCAGCAACGCCGCGUGCGGGAUGACGGCCUUCGGGUUGUAAACCGCUUUCGCCUGUGACGAAGCGUGAGUGACGGUAAUGGGUAAAGAAGCACCGGCUAACUACGUGCCAGCAGCCGCGGUGAUACGUAGGGUGCGAGCGUUGUCCGGAUUUAUUGGGCGUAAAGGGCUCGUAGGUGGUUGAUCGCGUCGGAAGUGUAAUCUUGGGGCUUAACCCUGAGCGUGCUUUCGAUACGGGUUGACUUGAGGAAGGUAGGGGAGAAUGGAAUUCCUGGUGGAGCGGUGGAAUGCGCAGAUAUCAGGAGGAACACCAGUGGCGAAGGCGGUUCUCUGGGCCUUUCCUGACGCUGAGGAGCGAAAGCGUGGGGAGCGAACAGGCUUAGAUACCCUGGUAGUCCACGCUGUAAACGGUGGGUACUAGGUGCGGGGUCCAUUCCACGGGUUCCGUGCCGUAGCUAACGCUUUAAGUACCCCGCCUGGGGAGUACGGCCGCAAGGCUAAAACUCAAAGGAAUUGACGGGGCCCCGCACAAGCGGCGGAGCAUGCGGAUUAAUUCGAUGCAACGCGUAGAACCUUACCUGGGUUUGACAUGGAUCGGGAGUGCUCAGAGAUGGGUGUGCCUCUUUUGGGGUCGGUUCACAGGUGGUGCAUGCCUGUCGUCAGCUCGUGUCGUGAGAUGUUGGGUUAAGUCCCGCAACGAGCGCAACCCUUGUUCACUGUUGCCAGCACGUUAUGGUGGGGACUCAGUGGAGACCGCCGGGGUCAACUCGGAGGAAGGUGGGGAUGACGUCAAGUCAUCAUGCCCCUUAUGUCCAGGGCUUCACGCAUGCUACAAUGGCUGGUACAGAGAGUGGCGAGCCUGUGAGGGUGAGCGAAUCUCGGAAAGCCGGUCUCAGUUCGGAUUGGGGUCUGCAACUCGACCUCAUGAAGUCGGAGUCGCUAGUAAUCGCAGAUCAGCAACGCUGCGGUGAAUACGUUCCCGGG